rnacentral:rRNA from 1 species
GAUGAACGCUGACAGAAUGCUUAACACAUGCAAGUCCACUUGAACUUCGGUUUGGGUGGCGGACGGGUGAGUAACGCGUACAGAACUUGCCUCACAGAUAGGGACAACAUUUGGAAACGAAUGCCAAUACCUGAUAUUAUGAUUUUAGGGCAUCCUAGGAUUAUGAAAGCUAUAUGCGCUGUGAGAGAGCUUUGCGUCCCAUUAGCUAGUUGGAGAGGUAACGGCUCACCAAGGCGAUGAUGGGUAGCCGGCCUGAGAGGGUGAUCGGCCACAAGGGGACUGAGACACGGCCCUUACUCCUACGGGAGGCAGCAGUGGGGAAUAUUGGACAAUGGACCAAGAGUCUGAUCCAGCAAUUCUGUGUGCACGAUGAAGUUUUUCGGAAUGUAAAGUGCUUUCAGUUGGGAAGAAAAAAAUGACGGUACCAACAGAAGAAGUGACGGCUAAAUACGUG